rnacentral:pre_miRNA from 1 species
AUGAAGUUAAUUUCAUGAUAAGUUGGUCAAUUGACCAAUAUAGUGUUGACAUGCAGACAAAGAGAUUACUUUCUGUCUGCGUGUCGAUACUGUAUUGGUUAAUUAAUCAAAGUUAACUUCAU